rnacentral:lncRNA from 1 species
UAUGGAAAGUUCUCCUUUUGUGUUUCCUUUGUGAUGACACUGUAAUCACAAAAUACAACACAAACAUGAUUUUUCUCAUUUGUUCUGUCUUUAACAGACUGGGAAGAGGAGCAGGUGAGCAGUCCGAAUAUCCUGCGCCUCAUCUACCAGGGCCGAUUCCUACACGGCAAUGUGACGCUAGGAGCUUUAAAACUGCCACUCGGAAAAACCACAGUGAUGCAUUUAGUUGCCAGAGAGACGCUGCCCGAGCCAAAUUCCCAAGGUCAGAGGAACCGGGAAAAGACUGGAGAGAGCAACUGUUGUGUGAUCCUGUAAAUACAUCCCAUCAUCCCUCAGAACGAGUGUGUCCUAUCACCCUUCGCCCAUGCUGCUUAAACACAUCUAAUCACACCCGACUCCCACGAGCACCCGACCAGAUCAAGAGCUUCGCUUCUCCUGGAAAGGAAAAAAAAAAAGAUAAAAAUCACCUGAGACACGGAUAUGAGAACAUUUCGGCUUCGCAGUCUGUAUUUAAGCCAAAAAAUCAGAUAAUAAAAUGCAUCCCACCUUUACACACACAUUUCCACUGUUUCUAACAUCUUCACACGCAUCCAUGAACUCAUUCAAACACACGCGCACACACACACACACACACUCCUGCCAGUUUGCACACGGAGGAGGCCCUCUUUUCUCAGUUUUUUUAUUGCACAUAGUAACAUGAUUGAUUCAGUGAGGAAAAAAGAGACUUGUUCGCCUCAGCCCAGGCCCUUGAUUCUUCCUCUCAGGGGGGAGACGUGUGAGGGGGGGAUUAAUUUACACAGCACAGUGCAGGAGAUCAAGUAUUUAUGUGCCUGUUGAACGUUUUAGAAAUGUUUCUUAUACAUUUCCAUGCGUUUUAAAUGCCCCAUUAAGGUCCUGGAGAUCCAGCAUCCUGCUCUAUUGAGUUCCUGUACGCCAGAAGUGUUUCAAGCACAGUCGGGACUUUUUUGCAGGAAGGUAGAUCUCCAGAAGAUGGUUGGAUUGACUCAUGGGAAAGUCUAAAAUACACAUAACGAGUAACAUUUACAGUAACAUUUGCGACUGUGUUUUGACAGUCAACCAGUGUUGCGACUUCCCUCUUUAGACAGAUCCGAGCUGCUCUCUUUCAGGAAGGGUUAUAAGAUUUAUUCCUUUAUUUUCUAAGUAGGGUAGUGGUGUCAAUGAAUGCUUGCGUUUGGAGCCAGAAGAUAAUUAUGGAAUGAAGUUUGGCUUGGUUUCUAUUUCCCCUUCCUUAUUAGAUAUAAAAUUCGUUUGCACAACACGGAAACAUGAGCUGUUUCGUUUCUAAAUCGGUGUAAUUUUUUCUUUCCCCUACUCCCUUUUUAAUAUUUUUCCAAAUGGGAAGUGUAUUCGAAGGUUACAUAUGUGUAGAGUAUAUUUAAUAUGAAUCUUAUAGAGAACAUAAAUAUAGAUUGUUGAUAUAUAUUGGUGUCUAGUGUAUGAUAGUUUAAAAACCGUUAGCACAUUAGCAUAUGAAGCAGCGAGAUGUACUUUAACAGCAGCAAAUCCCUCUAAUGGCUGAAUAAAUUACUGUUUUCGUCUCUCUUUUUUUUAAUCAAAUGUUCAUAAUUUGAUGUUUCAUUUUUGACUUCAUUUUUCUUUUUAUGUGUUCUUUGCUUUCUGCUUUUUAACACCGCACUAGGUCUGAAAAAUAUUGGUCCUUAUCAGGGUUAAAAUCUGUACAGAGCUGAAGUUUUUAAAAAGAUAAUUGUAAAUAAACUAAUGCUUAUCAUUCUCUAAACUACAAAUGGAAAUACAUAUAUAAACUGAAUAAAGAGUCCAGAAUAUUGAAGUGAAAUGGUUAUUGCUUGAUUGUUUACAGUGAGUUUGAGGGCGUGAAAUGUAUGUUCUUUUUCCGACACUUGAGAAAACACACACAUAUAAUGGGUAUUCUGAAUAUUUUUAUAUUUCACAGUAUUCGUGUUUUACUGUAUUUUCAUAAAUUCAGCAUAUAAAUAACAUACAGCUUAUGUGAACAUGAGACUUAUUUAAAAAUGAUUUAAAUCGUGUAUUUAUUACUAGUAUUUUAGUUCUAGUCAUGCAGUCUCAAUAAUCUCUGUUAUCGUGUAUGGAAGUUUAUGGGUGAACGUUAUUAAUAUUCUUCUCUAAUUGUGAUCGUUUUGCGCCAUCUUGUGGGUAAACUGAUAAUUACACAUCUCUUAUUUGCACAAAUCACAUUAGUUUUAUUGGUUUAUAUUAUAUUUAUUUAUUAGUAUUUAUAGUUUUUUUAGUUGAUAAAUUAAGAUAAGGAAAUUAAAAAUAUAACUAAAUUUAGAUUUGACUUGUUUAGUCGCCAAGUACCAAGCAACACUUAGUCGAAAACAAGUUUUGAUCUAAUAUGAAAAACACUUUUAGGGACUUAAUUUUAAUCUAAUGCCUGGAAAAAUACAAGACGCACGAUUAUAGUAAUAUAAAACAUGGAUAUAAUAAUGUAUUUAAAUGGCGAACAGUACUAAACCUAAAGAGCGCACAUAUCGACCUUUGAUACAACUUCCUGCGCGGUAAGAUUUUUUUUUUUAUUGU